AUUGAACGCUGGCGGCAUGCCUUACACAUGCAAGUCGAACGGCAGCACGGGUGCUUGCACCUGGUGGCGAGUGGCGAACGGGUGAGUAAUACAUCGGAACAUGUCCUGUAGUGGGGGAUAGCCCGGCGAAAGCCGGAUUAAUACCGCAUACGAUCCACGGAUGAAAGCGGGGGACCUUCGGGCCUCGCGCUAUAGGGUUGGCCGAUGGCUGAUUAGCUAGUUGGUGGGGUAAAGGCCUACCAAGGCGACGAUCAGUAGCUGGUCUGAGAGGACGACCAGCCACACUGGGACUGAGACACGGCCCAGACUCCUACGGGAGGCAGCAGUGGGGAAUUUUGGACAAUGGGCGUAAGCCUGAUCCAGCAAUGCCGCGUGUGUGAAGAAGGCCUUCGGGUUGUAAAGCACUUUUGUCCGGAAAGAAAUCCUUGGCCCUAAUACGGUCGGGGGAUGACGGUACCGGAAGAAUAAGCACCGGCUAACUACGUG
rnacentral:rRNA from 1 species